UUUCUUGUGAUUUGAAGUUGUUUUUUGAAAGAUACUUUCUUGUUAUAAACAACCUGGAAAAUACGCGUAGAAGUUAGUUGUAUACGCUCGCUCGUAAGGAUACGUAGAUCCUCUGUCAUCUCGGUACACAGGUGCAACGCUCGGGAAAGGAUCGAACGUGUGCAUCGAGAUAUCGUUGGUCCGUCCCGCGGGCUAAUCACGAUGAUCCACAAAUCAAUGCUAAUCGAUGCGAGAGAAUCGAGAUAUCGAACACGAGCGACAAUGGUUCAUGGAUACCUUCGGACACAACCUGCCGUGGCGUGACCCGGAAACAGAUCUCACCGAACUAGCUCGAUGUUACAUCCACAUGAACGUGUAGUACGGGCAAAAGGAUUCGGUUCGAGUCGGAGAGCGUCGACAGGAAGGGAGUUUGAUUGGACGUGCACCGAUCGCGUAAUUAGACACGCCUCAUAUCUCGUCGAUGGCAUUGGGCGGCACCCGUCGAUCGUCGAGGGAAGAGAGAGAGAGAGAGAGAGAGAGUCGGACGAGAGCCGAGAAACGAAAGAAGGAGAUGCCCGCGUCGAGACGAGGAGAUUCGAAUCGCUCGCACCAGGGAUGUGUAACGAUGUAUCUAACUGCGCGAGUGCGAGAGAGAGAAACGUAGGUGGGUGUCCACUCGCACGUUCAUACGUACGUGUUCGCACAUCGCCGUGUCCGUGUGUGUCUUCAUUACGGACAGCCGUGAGAGCAUUUAGAUGAUAUCGUAAUGGCAAUUACCCGCUUGAUCCUUCGGCCAGGGCUCGUUCGCCAACUCCUUUGCCGGUCGGUGGCCACACCGACUAAUAUUGGUUCUGCUCAUUAUACCGAGCUCUUACCGAUCGUACCCAAAGCCUCUUGUCCUCUUCCUCGCUCUUUUCUCUUUCUCCCUUCCUCUCUUUCGUUCUUUCUCUACAACCUUCUCGCCAUCGUUUCGCUCUUCGUGGGUGUGUGACCACCUACCUCGCCCCCGUCCUUCCGGUACACAUCCCGUCCUCUCUCCUUCGCCUCUUUAGGAACCGAUCCUUGUCUAGUCGCGAUCGCUCGAACAAAUCUUUCCAUGUACGAGAGAGAACAAGGAAGACCGGAGAUCGGAAUCUCCGCGACACCAGUUCCACGCAGCUCUCUAAGGAUAUUCCCCUCCAAGAGGGAAAUAGGAAAUAAGCGGAUAGAAAUUACGAGUUGAAGUUAACUAACAUACAAGAUGUAAGAACG